rnacentral:rRNA from 1 species
AACGUGAAAUCGCUGGAGUGGAACCGGAGAGAGUUGACGUAGUCGGGUAACUAAGUUUGCCAAAGUCGCUUAAUUGUGACAGCGGCAGAUGUAUGUUGCCUAUGGCUGCGCUGACAGCACUGGCUGUGCGUUCCGAACCGUUUGCGUUGCCCACUUCGGUGGUGUCUUGUCUACGGCUAGGUUUGUCGUGGCUAGUGUUUUAUCCUGCUUGCAGGGUGUCAGUGUGAAAGUCGACCACCUCUCCGACCCGUCUUGAAACACGGACCGAGGAGUGUAACUUGUACGCGAGUCAAAGGGUGGAAAACCCCAUGGCGAAAUGAAAGUAAAGGUCGGUUAACCGGCUGACAUGGGAUCCGCCUUUCGAGGCGGCGCACCAUGGCCCUGUCUUGUCUGCUUGCAGAUGGGCAGCGGUAGAGCGUACAGGUUGCGACCCGAAAGAUGGUGAACUAUGCCUGAGCAGGACGAAGUCAGAGGAAACUCUGAUGGAAGUCCGUAUCGGUUCUGACGUGCAAAUCGAUCGAUAGACUUGGGUAUAGGGGCGAAAGACUAAUCGAACC